UGCUCAUUGUGAUCCAGGGACUAUGCUGG
rnacentral:piRNA from 2 species